rnacentral:rRNA from 1 species
UGCAGUCGAACGAUGAUCUCCAGCUUGCUGGGGGGAUUAGUGGCGAACGGGUGAGUAACACGUGAGUAACCUGCCCUUAACUCUGGGAUAAGCCUGGGAAACUGGGUCUAAUACCGGAUAUGACUCCUCAUCGCAUGGUGGGGGGUGGAAAGCUUUUUGUGGUUUUGGAUGGACUCGCGGCCUAUCAGCUUGUUGGUGAGGUAAUGGCUUACCAAGGCGACGACGGGUAGCCGGCCUGAGAGGGUGACCGGCCACACUGGGACUGAGACACGGCCCAGACUCCUACGGGAGGCAGCAGUGGGGAAUAUUGCACAAUGGGCGCAAGCCUGAUGCAGCGACGCCGCGUGAGGGAUGACGGCCUUCGGGUUGUAAACCUCUUUCAGUAGGGAAGAAGCGAAAGUGACGGUACCUGCAGAAGAAGCGCCGGCUAACUACGUGCCAGCAGCCGCGGUAAUACGUAGGGCGCAAGCGUUAUCCGGAAUUAUUGGGCGUAAAGAGCUCGUAGGCGGUUUGUCGCGUCUGCCGUGAAAGUCCGGGGCUCAACUCCGGAUCUGCGGUGGGUACGGGCAGACUAGAGUGAUGUAGGGGAGACUGGAAUUCCUGGUGUAGCGGUGAAAUGCGCAGAUAUCAGGAGGAACACCGAUGGCGAAGGCAGGUCUCUGGGCAUUAACUGACGCUGAGGAGCGAAAGCAUGGGGAGCGAACAGGAUUAGAUACCCUGGUAGUCCAUGCCGUAAACGUUGGGCACUAGGUGUGGGGGACAUUCCACGUUUUCCGCGCCGUAGCUAAC